UACGUAGGGGGCUAGCGUUGUCCGGAAUCAUUGGGCGUAAAGAGCGUGUAGGCGGCCCGGUAAGUCCGCUGUGAAAGUCGGGGGCUCAACCCUCGAAUGCCGGUGGAAACUGUCGGGCUAGAGUCCGGAAGAGGCGAGUGGAAUUCCCGGUGUAGCGGUGAAAUGCGCAGAUAUCGGGAGGAACACCAAUGGCGAAGGCAGCUCGCUGGGACGGUACUGACGCUGAGACGCGAAAGCGUGGGGAGCAAACAGG
rnacentral:rRNA from 1 species